GCGUGCAGGAUGAAGGCCUUCGGGUUGUAAACUGCUUUUGUACGGAACGAAACGGUCUGCCCUAAUACGGUGGGCUAAUGACGGUACCGUAAGAAUAAGCACCGGCUAACUACGUGCCAGCAGCCGCGGUAAUACGUAGGGUGCGAGCGUUAAUCGGAAUUACUGGGCGUAAAGCGUGCGCAGGCGGUUAUGUAAGACAGAUGUGAAAUCCCCGGGCUCAACCUGGGACCUGCAUUUGUGACUGCAUAGCUAGAGUACGGUAGAGGGGGAUGGAAUUCCGCGUGUAGCAGUGAAAUGCGUAGAUAUGCGGAGGAACACCGAUGGCGAAGGCAAUCCCCUGGACCUGUACUGACGCUCAUGCACGAAAGCGUGGGGAGCAAACAGGAUUAGAUACCCUGGUAGUCCACGCCCUAAACGAUGUCAACUGGUUGUUGGGUCUUCACUGACUCAGUAACGAAG
rnacentral:rRNA from 1 species